rnacentral:lncRNA from 1 species
GGGAGAACAGUGCAAGAUAUUCUGAGAGACAGAGAGAAUGACCAGUUACAUAACUUUUAUUACAAAUCUGCUUCUCAACUUAUUCUCAGCCAGAAUUUUCAUAAGGAUUAUACUGAAUCCAUAGCUCAAUUAGUGGAGAAUUUCCAUCUUCACCAUAUUGAAUCUUCUAAUCCAUGAUCACGGAAUGAACUUCCAUUAAUCUAUAUCCUUAC